CUCUGGACCUCAGAAGGGCUGUGUCCACCAUGGCUCCUGUCCUCCUGCUGCUCCUCUCUCACUUCCCAGAAUGUUUCUGAAGUCUCAGGAAUGCUGAAAACAAAAACAAAAACCUCGUGAUACCACUGCGGUGUUGCCCAGUUAUCUAGAUGAGCAAAACUCAGAGCCUGUGGAGCUGACUUUUUUAUUAUUAUUAUUUUUUGGAAGAAGAGAAAUGAGCCUUUCCUAGUUUUCUUUUUGGCCAGAGGCCAGAGACCAUUCAAGCAGGUAGACAGUCGCUACAGCAUGGACUACUGUCUUUGAGGGAUCAGAGCAGAAACCUCCUUUUCCCUCUCCAGUCACCUCCCUCCAACCCCGAUCAUCUGUGCUUGGGGCUGCCUGGGGCUCCCCGUGACCCAGGGAUGAGGCACUAAGGUGUGAAAUGAGUGAGGACACAGGUCCCAGAGGAGUUCCAGCGAAGAUGUGGCCAGAGUCACUCACAGGACAGGGAGGAUGGACCUUCAGAGAUUUGAGCCUCAUUAUCCAGAUGCAGGUUUGUCAAUAGAAACCCUCUGUCCACCUCUGGACUCCAGCAUUAUGGGUAAGGCUGAUUGUCUCUGUCAUAUAGCUGAACACAGCCUCAUAAACAGAAAGAGCUCCUGAUCCAUGGAAAAAUGGAUAAAAAUGUUGUCCCUCUCAUCUUACCAGAA